rnacentral:lncRNA from 1 species
UUCAGCCGCCCGUCUCCUUCGCGCCUCGCCAUCCCCGCCGUGCACCGUCCAGGCCGUUCGGCCUCUGUUCAGCUCAGUUCAGCCCCCGUCCGGCCACCUCCGGCCGUCGUUUGAAGCCGCCGGACCUCCACCGACCCUCCUCGGAGCACCGCCCGCUCUCCCGAACCCUUCUCCGCCCCUAACCAUCUCUGUUUUCCCCUGUUUUGCAGCCAACCAGCAACCCACGAAAUGGGUUUCCAGCUGGUUUGGGCCCGUUUUGGGCCAUUUCCCGGCCCCGGAUCCUCGAGUCGCUUUGGGAAGAAUCGUUCCUCGCGUCGCCGCCGUCGGAUUGAUCCGAUUUGCGCGCGAUUUGGUGAGUAAUCUCACUAAUCUUAGAUUAGUUGGCUAAUUAUGCUUAAGGUUGGUUUAGAUUUAAUUAAUUAUGUUUAGGUUGUUAGAUUAGAAUUAAUUAGCAAUUAUUAGUUAAUUGUGAUGUGAUUUAGAUAAAUUGAUUGUGCAAUUAGCAAGUAGACGUGGUCUACUAAUUAUUGGAAGUGCUUCAGGAAUUUUCCCGACCCUUAGUGGGCUCCAAUUAGGCUUUUCGGGCCUAAGUGGAUUUUUUUGUAUUUAAAUAUUAAUUUUCGGAAUUAAAUUAAAUAAUUAUUUAUUUUCCGAAAAUUCAAGGGAGAUGGCCCGGGACCGGAAAAUUGUGCUGAUGACUAUGGUGAAGUCCAUUUAUCUAAUCGGGCUUUAAUUUGAGUUAAAUGGGAUUUUUAAUGUUAAUUAUUUAAUAUUCGAAAUUAAUUAAAUAAUUAUUUAUUUUCUGAAAAUUCAACUGAGAUGGUCUGGAACCGGAAAAUUAUGCUGAUGACCGUGGUGAAGUCCGUUUAUGUAAUCGGGCUUUAUUUUGAGCUAAAUUGAAUUUUUUAUAAUAAUUAUUUAAUUUUCGAAAUUAAUAAAUAAAUUAAUUAUUUUUCGGAAAUUAAGAUUUUGAUGGCCGACGACCGAAAUCUCGUGCUGAUCGUCGUGGUGCAGUCCGUUUAUUUAUUUGAGAUCCACGUUGUAUGGAAUUGAGUAAAUUGUGAUAUUUUAGGGAUUUACCCUAAAUUGAUUGGAAUCGAUUGAGAUUGAAUUAUCGAUUGGUGAAUGGCCAAGUAUGUUUAUUCAGCAUUUAUAAUGUUUUGUUGAGUUGAUUUAUUUAUUUGAUUGAGAAAUCGUUGGGCAUUGGUUGUCGGUAUUGAAAGUAAAUUGGUAACCACUGCAAAGAGGACACGUGGCUCGGUGAAUUGGAAUGUCACCUGGAAAAUACACGUGAGUUCAGUGGUUGAAUAUGUCACCUUGGCGAAAAGGUCGCCUGAGAGAAUGCACGUGGCUCGGAGACUCGGUAUGUCGUCCUGGAGAAUGCACGUGGCUCGGUGACAGGAUUUGGCAUCUAAAAGGACACGUGGCUCGGUGAUCUGAUGCGUCACUUUGGUAAGCGAGUACCUUAGAGAAUGCACGUGGGUCCAGCAUUCCGGAAUGGCAUCUAAAAGGGCACGUGGCUCGGUGAAUUGAUGCAUCACCUUGGUGAGAUAGCACCUUAGAGAAUGCACGUGGGCCCGGGCAUCGUAAAAAGGACACGUGGCUCGGUGGCUUGAUGUACCACCUUGGCAAAGAGGUCGCCUUAGAGAAUGCACGUGGGUCCGAGGUUUGAGGCACGUGGACUCGGAGACUUGGAAGGUCAUCCUGGAGAAUGCACGUGGCCUAGCUUUUAAAUAUCCCACAGUGGGGAUUGAUUUGUUUGGCAUGUAAUCGACUAGGUCGAUGCUUUGAUUUGAUGUGGUGAAUUGAUUGCCUGAAUGGAAAUGACCGUGAGUGGUUUUGUUGGAAUAUAAUCGAUUAGGUCGAUUUGAUCGAUGCUUCGAUCGGUGAUAUGAUUGCUUGGGUGCCUAUUAUGAAUUGUACUGACUUGCAGGUGGGAUCAGAGGCCAAGGUAAGUCCUCUGCCCUGUGCGUGUUUAGGCAGCCUGUAGUAUAAUAGUUUAUCUAAUCGGGCUUAGUGGGGUAGAACUCGUUGAGACGUAGUCUCAUCCCAGUUUGGGGAAAACCAUUUCAGGACCCCGCUGAAGAGCUGAGAAGGAGGAAUCCGAGAAGGAAGACUCGGAGGCGAAUCUUAAGGAAAAAGAUUUUGGAGGAAGAAGGCAAUCCUGAGAGGGGCCUUGAGUACGGCCUAGUUCGUCUAAGUUUAUGUCUUCUUUUGAAAUCUCCGUUUUGAUGUGAAUAGUUAUGAAAGGGUUUGUGGUUUGUAUAAAAGUGUGGUUAUAAAUUUCAAUAUGAAAAAUAUGGCC